AUUGAACGCUGGCGGCAGGCCUAACACAUGCAAGUCGAGCGGAUGACGGGAGCUUGCUCCUUGAUUCAGCGGCGGACGGGUGAGUAAUGCCUAGGAAUCUGCCUGGUAGUGGGGGACAACGUUUCGAAAGGAACGCUAAUACCGCAUACGUCCUACGGGAGAAAGCAGGGGACCUUCGGGCCUUGCGCUAUCAGAUGAGCCUAGGUCGGAUUAGCUAGUUGGUGGGGUAAUGGCUCACCAAGGCGACGAUCCGUAACUGGUCUGAGAGGAUGAUCAGUCACACUGGAACUGAGACACGGUCCAGACUCCUACGGGAGGCAGCAGUGGGGAAUAUUGGACAAUGGGCGAAAGCCUGAUCCAGCCAUGCCGCGUGUGUGAAGAAGGUCUUCGGAUUGUAAAGCACUUUAAGUUGGGAGGAAGGGCAGUAAGCUAAUAUCUUGCUGUUUUGACGUUACCGACAGAAUAAGCACCGGCUAACUCCGUGCCAGCCGCCGCCGUAACAC
rnacentral:rRNA from 1 species